rnacentral:rRNA from 1 species
CGGGUGAGUAACACGUAAAGAACCUACCUUAUAGACAGGGACAACUAUUGGAAACGAUAGCUAAUACCUGAUAAGAAAGAAACUCGCAUGAGAGAAGUUCGAAAGUCGGAGCAAUCUGACACUAUAAGAUGGCUUUGCGGUGCAUUAGCUAGUUGGUAGGGUAAAAGCCUACCAAGGCGACGAUGCAUAGCCGACCUGAGAGGGUGGACGGCCACAAGGGGACUGAGAUACGGCCCUUACUCCUACGGGAGGCAGCAGAC